rnacentral:rRNA from 1 species
UACAGAGGAUGCAAGCGUUAUCCGGAAUGAUUGGGCGUAAAGCGUCUGUAGGUGGCUUUUUAAGUCCGCCGUCAAAUCCCAGGGCUCAACUCUGGACAGGCGGUGGAAACUACCAAGCUGGAGUACGGUAGGGGCAGAGGGAAUUUCCGGUGGAGCGGUGAAAUGCGCAGAUAUCAGGAGGAACACCGGUGGCGAAGGCGGGACUCUGGGCCGAUACUGACGCUGAGGAGCGAAAGCGUGGGGAGCAAACAGG